GACUCACUAGCCUUUGCACAAGUGGCAAAGCCAUCGAGCGGCUCCACCUGGCUGACUGGAAACAGCUUUACAUACGCACACCUGUGUAUUCUCAUCUCCAGAGGACGUAUGUGUCUGUCGAGUACCAAUGCAUUUUGCUACUGUUUGGUUGUUUUGUUUUAUUUAAUCCCAAACCUCAACAAAUGAGGAGCUGAUUUUGGUACUUUUCCUUUGGGUUUCCCUAAAUUUACUACCAGAAGCGGGGGAGAGGUGGGCCUCUCCGAGACCAGAGGCCUGGCCUCCCUGAGGAUGCUGGGCAGCUCUGCCUUACAUCCGUCACUGUCAUAAACCAGGCACCCUGGGGAAAGGCCUUGGAGGCGCGUGGGCCAGGCCUCCAGGAGAUUCCAUUUGAGAGCUGACCUGGGGAUAUAGGUGUUUGGCUUUGGAUUCUGCUCCAAUCCGCCAGUGGUUUCUUGCAAUUAAAAAGAAAACAAAACUCAAACACUGUUUACAGCAAGCAAUACUUGAAGAGCAUAGGUUCGAGAAGCUGCAGUAUUUAUUGUUGUGCUUUCUGUCUUUUAUUCUCUCGUGCCUAGAGAGGGGAGACAACCCUUCGCUCGUAUGCGGAAGCUCCUGAUCGUCUGAGCACUGGCCUCGGUAGAGAUGACUGUAGCAUCCCCAUGUUAUGUCUUCUUCGGCCUCUCUUUCUGCCUCUCAUGUCCUUAUGAGUUUGAAGGACAAGUGGGCAGCUUCUCUCUCUCCUGCUGACACCUAAAUCCAUGGAUGACCAUCCGUCCUGAGUGUAGUUUCCAAAUAAAGAGACCAAAGUUCCACACCCUGGUCCUGAGGCCCCAUGGAAGGCAGUGGGAGGCAUCCAGAGGAAGACACCUCCGCUGGUGCAGGACCCUAGUGACCGGACAGCCACCAGAGUUUCCGGGCCUCCCACCCUGGCAAGAAUCCAAGCAGCUAGCUCCAACUUCUCCGCAGGCAGCGUCGGAGUGAGUGUGAAGGAGGACAAGAGAAAGGCAAAGGGGUGGGAAGGGAGGCAGCAGGAGAGGACCAGCCUACCCUUCCCACCUUCUACUUUACAAGGGGCUGCAAUGCUGGGAAUCGGGUCCAGCCACCCCCAGCGAUACCAGGCCAGGGUCAUUUCCUCUGUAAUUAACUCUGGGCCCUGGCUUCUCUGUGCCCUGAUUUACCUCCAAACACUUCCAAUUUCCAAAAGCUCUGCUGACCACAUUGGAUUGCCAGGAAAGGGCCGGGGGAGGGGUAGCUCUGAGGGCUGGCUUCCAUCGCUGGGGUGUGGCUUUGCAUCACUCUGCUAACCACACAGCAGACAUUGCCCGGUCCUGGCCUCAGCUCCAGUUUCUUGCCUGGAUGCAGCCGACAAAUGGGAGAAGAAAAGCAUUCAGCAGAAUACUCAGGAAACUCGCUGUUUUCAUUAUAAUUCACAGCCAGCCAUGUGAAGGCCACUUUCUUCUGAUAAUCCACUUCUGUUAACGUUUCUCUGGGCCCUAUUAAUAGCCUGAAAGAAAUACUAAUGACUGGCCUUCUGCACUAAGCCAAAGUGUUUGCCCUUCAUUACCCAAAGCUUACCAGCUCAGAGCCCAUGAUUUAUGGAGAUGAAAGGCGAGGAGAUACGGCAAGAGGAACGUGAGCAGGGGACUCUUUGCUGCCUACAGAAAAGUGCAGCCCACCCUCCUUUUACUUCCGAGCUCUGAAUGAAGGUUUUCUGAUCACACCACUGCUCAGACUGGCAUCCUGGGCUUUGCCCCACCAAGAAGUAAAAGUUAGACAUCUCAACUGCGACCUGUAGGCAUCUACCCGGGUGUCUCCCAGCAGCUACUCUUGGUGACCAUUCACCACCCCUGGGGAUGCUUCCUUGAAGGUUUUGGAGGAGUGGGAGAAUGAUGGAGGCAUGGCCGCUUGGACAGUGGAGAGGAGAGGCGCCAGAGCUGGCCUGAGAAGCUUGACCACAUUUCUCAGGAUUCCAUGAGAGAGCUGGGGAAUGUGGGCUGGCAAAGGCUGUGGCACAGGGGCGUCCCUAAGGAAGGAAUUGAGAGAAAGGAAAACUCGACUGGACUCAAGUCAGGCCAUGAGGGUGAAAGGAUGGAGAGCCUUGCUUGGCUUUGGGUCACCAAGAGUGCAUGCCCUGUGGGAUGGGAGGGGAGGGAGUUAAUUGGCCUCUGUCCCCACUGUUAUCCGAUGUGAUGUGAAGAUAUUUUGACCUUGUGUAAGGGAUAAGUAUUAAAGUCACGUUCCCUCCCCCACAUGAAGUCAUCCGUCUUGGAGGGAGGCAGAGAGGGACUUCUCUCUCGAAGGUUGAUCCAGCUCCAUUUUGUUUCACUGGUCUGCACAAGAGACAAUCUUCUGGAAAACGGAAAGGAAAAGCACCCCAGAAAUGUGCUUGGCAAGACAGAGGGUGCUCACACACAAGAUAGAGAUGGACAAGCUGUCCAUCUUGGUGGAGUGAGUCCCUCCAGCUGGCCUGCUGCUGCCUACCGCCCAGCAGGGGCUCAGGUGCUUCUGUGCUUGCCCUCCUACAGCUCUCCACAGCCCAUCUCUCAGAACCAUUCCUGAUCCACUACUGGCAGAGAGCUCCCCCUCCUUGAAACGUUCAGUCAUUAGAAGCACGGAUCCACUGGGAACCUCACUCGCGGGGUUCCUGUAUUCAUUCAUUCAGAGAACAUUUCUGCGUAACACUGUUUGCAAUGGCCCUGCUCCAGGUGCUAAGAAACAGCAACAAACGAGACCAAGAAGGGCCUUCUUCUAGCAAACUGACAUUCUUCGGGCUGCUGGUUCCUGCCACCAACUUAGCCCGCAUAGCUCACCUCCCAGACCUGCAGAGGGCACAAGUUUUGUAGAAAAGGGAGCCAGAAGAAGGAAGAAAGCCGACCCACCCAGCUGCCUUACCUCGUUCUGGGGACAGUCCUGAGAGCCAUGAGAGCCCUUCUCAUUCCCACUGCCGCUGUCUCUUCUGGUGGCACUUCCCCUGCUGCUUGAGCGCCUGGCCUCCCUUUAUUUCUACCAAACGAGGACAAGAAAUAGCAGUGGAGGCCCCUGGCCCUGCUGAGCAUGAAGCAGAAGCAACGGAUGGGUGAGCUGGACUACAAUGGUCUGGGCAGCACAAAUUGAGAGUGUUUGAAAGCCACUGGCUGAUCAGUCUCCAGGUGCAUCCCAGUUGCCACACUGCCCCCAUUAACCUGCAGCCAGUAGAUACUGAGCGGGCAGCUGCCCUCGAGGAGGCCACUGUUCCCAGCCACGCUGUCCUGCCUGAGGUUCCUGGGCCCUGGCCGCGGGCAGGAAAGAACUGAGCCUCAGUGAUGCGGGCUCUGUGGGUGAGAAAAUGCAGAGGAGUUUAGUGGACACAGGGCUGUGGGAGCAGGUCCUCUGGGGGGACUUGGGAGGUGAAGUUCAGGGCCUUCUGGUGCCUUGUCUCAGGAACACGCUUUGAGAAGAUGGCGGCCUCCUCUUCAUCACCCCAGUCUCUCUUCCCUGUCUCUUUCCUUUCUUCUGGUUUCCCCAAGAGUGAAGUUUUAGCAUCUGGGGGCUCCGUGAUGCCAGGGAUAAAAGAUAAAGUUUCACCCUUGGUAUUAGGGAGGACCUGGGGGCCAGGGCCUCAGCCCUGUCAGCAAACUGGAGAUUCUGGGCCUUUCAUGGACAUGCCCAUCGCAUUCCCCUCACCCUAAAGGGACUCUCCCCUCUAUCCUUUCUGCAGUGCAGCCCGUGCCUCCUGUCCUCACCUCAAGGAGAUGGGAGGCAUCGUCUGGAUUUCAGUCAAGGCCCUGACUCAGGCCUCGUGUACUCUCUGCGUUGGCAUUACAGGUGGAGAACAUAAUGGAACGUAGUUCCCCCUACAAAGCAGAUGUUCCCAAGUGUGUCAGGGAGGGAGGGACAAGCUCUUUGUACCACGAGACUAAGGACCUGAGCCCACCUGCCUCUCCCCUCAACUUCUCCUACCCAAACCCACUCUUCUUGACACACUGGAAUCUGUAUUAUAUAUUUUUUUAAGAAAAUAGAACGAUAGCUGUCCAGUUUUGUUGUUUUUACAGGUGUUGUGGAAUAAAAACUGUAAGAAAAUUACGUAUUUAAAAUGUUCCAAUAAACUGGGGUUUUUUUUGUCAUUCUAAUAUAUUACUGUGUACCUAUUGUAAAUAUGAAACACUCCUAUUUUGCAAGCCAAGGACACAAUUUGUACUGUUGUUAUAUAUAAAUAAAGUUUACCUUAAAUCUUC
rnacentral:lncRNA from 1 species